GAUGAAGAACGUAGCGAAAUGCGAUACGUAAUGUGAAUUGCAGAAUUCAGUGAAUCAUCGAAUCUUUGAACGCACAUUGCGCCCGCCAGUAUUCUGGCGGGCAUGCCUGUUCGAGCGUCAUUUCAACCCUCAAGCUCAGCUUGGUGUUGGGACUCGCGGUAACCCGCGUUCCCCAAAUCGAUUGGCGGUCACGUCGAGCUUCCAUAGCGUAGUAAUCAUACACCUCGUUACUGGUAAUCGUCGCGGCCACGCCGUAAAACCCCAACUUCUGAAUGUUGACCUCGGAUCAGGUAGGAAUACCCGCUGAACUUAAGCAUAUCAAUAAGCGGAGGA
rnacentral:misc_RNA from 1 species